ensembl:snRNA U1 U1 spliceosomal RNA
UCACUUGUCUGGCCAGGGAGACACUGUAAUCAAGAAGGUGAUUCUCCCAGGUUGGGACCUUCCUAGCACUCUGAGUGUGCUGCUUCCUCUGAUUUCCCCAGCUGAGUGAAACAUGACUGCAAACUUUCUGUUAGUGGGAGACUAGCUGAAGAGUUAAAAAUAGUGCUUUGCUUCGG